rnacentral:rRNA from 1 species
GAUGAACGCUGGCGGCGUGCCUAAUACAUGCAAGUCGAGCGAACAGACGAGGAGCUUGCUCCUCUGACGUUAGCGGCGGACGGGUGAGUAACACGUGGAUAACCUACCUAUAAGACUGGGAUAACUUCGGGAAACCGGAGCUAAUACCGGAUAAUAUAUUGAACCGCAUGGUUCAAUAGUGAAAGACGGUUUUGCUGUCACUUAUAGAUGGAUCCGCGCCGCAUUAGCUAGUUGGUAAGGUAACGGCUUACCAAGGCAACGAUGCGUAGCCGACCUGAGAGGGGGAACCGGCACAGCGGGACUGAGAGGCCGGCCAGGACCCUAAGGGAGGCCAGAAGUGGGAAAGCUGCGCAAUGGGCGAAAGCCUGACGGAGCAACGCCGCGUGAGUGAUGAAGGUCUUCGGAUCGUAAAACUCUGUUAUUAGGGAAGAACAAAUGUGUAAGUAACUAUGCACAUCGUGACGGUACCUAAUCAGAAAGCCACGGCUAACUACGUG